CAUUGUUUAAGCAUAUAAUUUUACGAAUGUGUACAUCUUUAAUUUAUUACAAUGUAUUCUAAAUUCGGUCAAAUGGAAGGAAAUUAAUCGAAGGAAAAGAAAGCGGAAGUGAAAUUUGACAGUCUGACAUUGAAAAUGUAAACAGAAACAAAAUCCAGCAGAUAUUUUCUUUUUGCAUACUUAUGAUGACUAAAAAAGGAAAUAAGCAAUUUUUCAUCAUCUCACCGCAGCCAACUUUCAAUACAAUUAUUGAUGGAUUUUACGAAUUAAUUUUGAGUUGCAGUGUAACUGUCUUUUUAGCAAUGUUGAAGAUGAAUUUAAAUUUGUAGAUGAACUUUUUUUAGCAAUGUUGAUUUAUGUGCAUAACAAACCAUCUCAUGAGGUUCAGGUCAAGCACCUGCUGUACAUAGAACAACAACCCAUUACAGCUUUGACUAUGCAGAGCAGGUUCUCAGAUAUUUAUCUCAGUGAUAAGGGUUUAGCUAUUAUUUGGCCAAUGGUGUGGUAUCUCAUUUUCAACAUCAUCCAAAUGGAGAAGAAUCUGCAUACCUGCACGUUGACAACUGUGUUGGGCAGAGUAAAAACAAUGCAGUCAUUGGGGUCUGAUGUAUUCUGAAGGGGCUACAUAGAGAAAUAGCAUUAACUUAAAUGGAAGCAGGUGAAAUAAAGUUCAGUCCUGUCUGAGAUUUGGUCUGUGGAAGACCAAAUGGAGGCAGCACACAUCCUUUGUGGAUUGAUGACCUUGGCAAACUGGUUAUAUUCUUUGACUGGUUGGAGUACACCAAGAGACCCCUGAAGUCCAUUCCAAACUUGAGGAAAUAUCAUCACUUCAGAACUUCAGCUGACAACCCAGUGAGUGAAUUCAUGAGAGAGCAUGUCAAGGACAGUGAGAUUGAAGUUAAAAUUGACAAGCCUACAACAAUAGCUUUUCCAUGGAGAGUACCAUGAACGCAUCCAACUAAAAGGACUUGAUGCAAAAAGGCUCUGAUCUCUUAAAUAACUGAAAAAAACAAACUUUUCAGUAUACUGAUAUGUGAUCUUUAUAAACUAAAUCUAAGAUUUGAGAAUGAUCCGUUACUGAGCUGAUGAAAACGUGUAUCAAUUUUUAUUGACAAUUAUUUAUUCAAUAGAAACAUGUUUAUGUGAAAUAAGGCUACCAGUGAUUUCGAGUGAUAAACUGUGGUUUUAGCAAAUGAGUGAUGGAAGGGUGCUGCACCCAGUCUUUUGUUUGUAGAACUCUUCUGCCAUAAUAGAGACCACUAUAUGAUUAUUAAUUAUUAAUACAAACUUAAAAAAAGCUGGCAGUUGAAGCCUAUAAAUGCUUGAGUUAAAGACAUUGAUAAUAUUGUUUGUCAAAAUUAAUAGUUACUUCACAGUCUGUACCUUAGCAACCUUUCAGUUUUUCUUCAAUAUCUUCAUUUUUAAA